UAGGGAAUCUUCCGCAAUGGGCGAAAGCCUGACGGAGCAACGCCGCGUGAGUGAUGAAGGUCUUCGGAUCGUAAAACUCUGUUAUUAGGGAAGAACAAAUGUGUAAGUAACUAUGCACGUCUUGACGGUACCUAAUCAGAAAGCCACGGCUAACUACGUGCCAGCAGCCGCGGUAAUACGUAGGUGGCAAGCGUUAUCCGGAAUUAUUGGGCGUAAAGCGCGCGUAGGCGGUUUUUUAAGUCUGAUGUGAAAGCCCACGGCUCAACCGUGGAGGGUCAUUGGAAACUGGAAAACUUGAGCGCAGAAGAGGAAAGUGGAAUUCCAUGUGUAGCGGUGAAAUGCGCAGAGAUAUGGAGGAACACCAGUGGCGAAGGCGACUUUCUGGUCUGUAACUGACGCUGAUGUGCGAAAGCGUGGGGAUCAAACAGG
rnacentral:rRNA from 1 species